rnacentral:rRNA from 1 species
GUCCUGUAGUUUACAUUAUAUUACAGGUUGUACCUGCUCAAUGAUUUAUUAAAUAGCCGCAGUAUAUUAACUGUGCAAAGGUAGCAUAAUCAUUUGUCUCUUAAUUGGAGUCUUGUAUGAAUGGUUUGACGAAAUAUAAUCUUUCUUUAUUUAAUUAAUAUAAAUUUAAUUUUUGAGUUAAAAAGCUUAAAUUUUAUUACUAGACGAGAAGACCCUAUAGAAUUUUAUUAUUAAUUUUAUUUUAUUUUUUUUAAUUUUUAAUUAAAAUAAAAUUAAUAAUUUGAUUGGGGUGAUUGUGGAAUUUAAAUAACUUCUAUUAAUAUAUUUUCAUUGAUUAAUGUAUUUUUGAUCCUUUAUUAUGGAUUACAAGAUUAAAUUACCUUAGGGAUAACAGCGUAAUUUUUUUGGAGAGUUCUAAUUGAUGGAAAAGUUUGCGACCUCGAUGUUGGAUUAAAAUUAUAGUUGGGUGUAGAAGCUUAAUUUUAUAGGUCUGUUCGACCUUUAAAAUUUUACA